rnacentral:rRNA from 1 species
CCUACGGGUGGCAGCAGUGGGGAAUAUUGGACAAUGGGGGCAACCCUGAUCCAGCCAUGCCGCGUGUGUGAAGAAGGCCCUCGGGUUGUAAAGCACUUUCAGUGAGGAAGAACGCCUGGUGGUGAAUACCCAUCAGGAAAGACAUCACUCACAGAAGAAGCACCGGCUAACUCCGUGCCAGCAGCCGCGGUAAUACGGAGGGUGCGAGCGUUAAUCGGAAUUACUGGGCGUAAAGCGCGCGUAGGUGGCUUGAUAAGCCGGUUGUGAAAGCCCCGGGCUCAACCUGGGAACGGCAUCCGGAACUGUCAAGCUAGAGUGCAGGAGAGGAAGGUAGAAUUCCCGGUGUAGCGGUGAAAUGCGUAGAGAUCGGGAGGAAUACCAGUGGCGAAGGCGGCCUUCUGGACUGACACUGACACUGAGGUGCGAAAGCGUGGGUAGCAAACAGGAUUAGAUACCCUAGUAGUC